GAGGCGAGGAGGAGGAGGAGAAGCGCGGCUCCGGCUGGCCGGCACCGCUGCCGCUAAGACUGGCUGUGGUGGCGGGGAUGAGCCCAAGCCGGGAAGAGGGACCAGGGCUUCGGUGCGCCUGCAAGAGGGCGACGCUUCUCGCCUCCUCCUUUGCCUUCGCGGACGCCGCCGCCGCCGCCGCCGCCUUGCAUCCCGCUUCGCCUCGCCAGCAGGAGGAGCGUCCAUGUGCUUUCGUUUUCCCCUCGUCCCGUCGUGGCCUUUGUGGAAUAGGAGCACUCUUCGUUUGAAAUGUAACCGGCUGGAGCGGGAAGCCGAAGACUCCUGAAGGUUUCCGGAGAGGUCCGAGCUGGCUGCAUCGAGUUUUUGAAGAAAGUGGACUGUACUCUUACUCCUUUUUUGGAAACUUUUAGGAGUCUUGCAUUUAUAACCCUCCAGUCAUCGUUACUUUUUCAGAUGUCAAAAAUUGAAAAUCGGUGGGGAUAAUAAAAGGCAGCUGAUUUCCUGGCCCUUGACAAUCUAGUUAAGCAUCUGACUGAGAAUGUUGGCACCAGCGUUGGAGGAAUCACUGAGCCUCAACUCAAGCUCUCUGUCCUGAGACGCAACAACAGGAUGUGCCUUGGAAACGAGUCUCAGGGUGGAGAAUUGGGAUCUGAAUCCAAAUCUACAUACUCAGGGUAAGA